rnacentral:rRNA from 1 species
GGAGUUAGCCGGUGCUUCUUCUGCGAGUAACGUCACAGAUGUAAGGUAUUAACUUACACCCUUUCCUCCUCGCUGAAAGUGCUUUACAACCCGAAGGCCUUCUUCACACACGCGGCAUGGCUGCAUCAGGGUUUCCCCCAUUGUGCAAUAUUCCCCACUGCUGCCUCCCGUAGGAGUCUGGGCCGUGUCUCAGUCCCAGUGUGGCUGAUCAUCCUCUCAGACCAGCUAGGGAUCGUCGCCUAGGUGAGCCUUUACCUCACCUACUAGCUAAUCCCACCUGGGCUUAUCCAUCAGCGCAAGGCCCGAAGGUCCCCUGCUUUCCCCCGUAGGGCGUAUGCGGUAUUAGCAGUCGUUUCCAACUGUUAUCCCCCACAAAUGGGCAAAUUCCCAGGCAUUACUCACCCGUCCGCCGCUCGUCAUCUUCAAAAGCAAGCUUUUGAAAUGUUACCGCUCGACUUGCAUGUGUUAGGCCUGCCGCCAGCGUUCAAUCUGAGCCAGAAUCGAAACCUGACUACGAGCGGCGNGCGACGACGCGAUA